UACGGAGGGGGCGAGCGUUAUUCGGAAUUAUUGGGCGUAAAGGGCGCGUAGGCGGCUGUACAAGUCAAAGGUGAAAUCCCUCGGCUCAACAUGAGGAACUGCCUUUGAAAACUGUACGCUUGAGGCCGGGGAGGGGGUAGCGGAAUUCCCAGUGUAGCGGUGGAAUGCGUAGAGAUCGGGAGGAACACCAGUGGCGAAGGCGGCUCGCUGGGCCGGUCCUGACGCUCAGGCGCGAAAGCGUGGGGAGCGAUCCGG
rnacentral:rRNA from 1 species